UGCACGUGAAUUGGCCGCGCCGCUGCCUUGACACCCCCCGUCCCCGACUCGCAGCAGGCCGAAGUGCCCGGCAGACACGGCAAGCGGGGCGGACCAGCGGCCUUCCCCUGAAGAGAGGGGCCGGGGACCAGCAGCUCCCCCCCCCACCCCUGUCACAGCCACAGCGGGGCCUGGAAACGCCUGUUCCUGGGUUGCCCACCUGGUGCAUCCACCUGUGCCAAGUCCGUGCAGCGAGCGCCCCCCGCCCCUGCCUGCAGCAGAGCAGAAAUCAUGGAUCUCCUGGGCUCGUACACGGGGGAGGCGGCACAACCCCAGCUAAGGAGCAAGGGAAGGAAUAGAGAUAGACACGAGGAUGCAAAACAUGGGACAUGAGACUCAGUGCCCGGUGAAAGCUAGGGUACUGCAGCAGUCAUAUCAGCAACAGGGACCUGCUGCUUCUACAAUGAACUGCAGGCCAUACUUGAAAGGGACCCAUUCCUCCCCAGGACCUUGAGUGUGAGGCUCUGCAUAGAGACAGGGGGUCUAGCCAGCCACCCGAAGAAACUUGCAGGAUUGGAGACAGGACUAGAUGAACCUAUGAAGGGCAAGCAUAAGAUAACGGCGGAGAGGGAUGUGUCUGAAAUCGCCCACUGAGCAGCCUGAUCCCAGCUCUGGAGACCACCAUCUGCUAUACUGGGCAUGUAGCCCUUAUAUUGACUUCAGCCAGUAAGCCUGUCUCAUGCUGACAGAAGAGGUACACAAUUGCAGGUCUGCAACAUGGUGUAUCAACAAUGACAGCAGUGAGAUACAGUCUAGUGCAACCCAACUUCUACAACCUUAAAUAAAAGAAGAUACUGUGAAAGAAGGGGGCGAGCAGUAUAGAGGGAGAGUGACGGCAGAUACUGCGGUGAAGGGUGCAUUUGACAGAGGCUAAAGAAGAAGUGGAAGAUAAUGGUCCAUUCUGGCCUUAGAAUCAAUUACACAGAAUGAAGUGCUGAACAGCACUGCUGCUGUUUCCUUGCCCCACAAAUUUUCCAAGUACCCAGAAAGGGACCCAUUUGUCUAACCGUUUUUCCUCACAUCCCCACAAUCCUUGUGUGACUGUUGCUUGGUUCUUUGAUGGUGACAAAUCUAUGGUAGGAGUAGGAAGAGAUGCACAAAAUUUGCUUUCAAUUGUGAGUGAAGGCAGGAUUUGAGUCUCAAUUUCCAGAGUCAAAGGACUCGGGCGCUAACCAACAGAUUCACCAAGCCUGCCCUGAUUAAAGCAUCUCCAGAAAUUAGCUUAGGGAUAUAUAUUCAAACAUCAGACACCCGUUUGCCUCCCCAGCAUCCAUGCUUCAGGUUGUCAGAGGUGGAGAUGCAGAGAACAGAGGAGGUUACACUGACUGAACAGCGGUUCCUGUGUCAGGAGCAAGUCAGAGGCUUCGCCACAUCACAGGUGGGGCUAGAAAGGUUCUUUAAAUGGGAUCAGGCAGGAAUCAGAUCUAGAGGUGGAGUGUACACCUGAAAUUGAAGGUCACUGAGAAGGGGAAGGGAAGAAGGAUACUCAG